AGCAGUGUGGCCUAAUGUUAAGAGUACCUGAUUGAGAGUCAGAGGACCUGGGUUCUAAUCCCAGCUCUGCCG
rnacentral:tRNA from 1 species